rnacentral:lncRNA from 1 species
GCCUCUUUGAGGAGAUAAUCUUGAAGCUGAUGUCUGAAUGUCAAGGAAGAAGCAAAUCUGCAAAUUUGAGGGGAAGAGCAUUUCAGGCAGAGAAACAGCUCUCAGGCACUAAGGUGCCUUUUGCCAUGAUUCUAAGUCUCCUGAGGCCUUCCCCAGCCCUGUGGAACUGAGGCAGACGAUCAUGGGUGGCCCAGAGACAAUGCAUCUUCUGUUUACCAACAAGCUCCCAGGAGCUUCUGG